UACGAAGGGGGCGAGCGUUGUUCGGAAUUACUGGGCGUAAAGGGCGCGUAGGCGGCGACCCAAGUCAGAUGUGAAAGUCCUGGCUUAACCUGGGACUGCAUUUGAUACUGGGUUGCUUGAAUUCGGGAGAGGAUAGCGGAAUUCCCAGUGUAGAGGUGAAAUUCGUAGAUAUUCGCAAGAACACCAGUGGCGAAGGCGGACUCACUGGCCCGGUACUGACGCUGAGGUGCGAAAGCGU
rnacentral:rRNA from 1 species